AGCAGCAGCCGCGGUAAUACGAAGGGUGCAAGCGUUACUCGGAAUUACUGGGCGUAAAGCGUGCGUAGGUGGUGGUUUAAGUCCGUUGUGAAAGCCCUGGGCUCAACCUGGGAAUUGCAGUGGAUACUGGGUCACUAGAGUGUGGUAGAGGAUAGUGGAAUUUCCGGUGUAGCAGUGAAAUGCGUAGAGAUCGGAAGGAACAUCUGUGGCGAAGGCGACUAUCUGGGCCAACACUGACACUGAGGCACGAAAGCAUGGGGAGCAAACAGGAUUAGAUACCCCAGUAGUCCCUGUCUCUUAUAC
rnacentral:rRNA from 1 species